rnacentral:rRNA from 1 species
AUGAACGCUGGCGGCGUGCCUAAUCCAUGCAAGUCGAGCGAACAGAUGAGGAGCUUGCUCCUCUGACGUUAGCGGCGGACGGGUGAGUAACACGUGGAUAACCUACCUAUAAGACUGGGAUAACUUCGGGAAACCGGAGUUAAUACCGGAUAAUAUAUUGAACCGCAUGGUUCAAUAGUGAAAGACGGUUUUGCUGUCACUUAUAGAUGGAUCCGCGCCGCAUUAGCUAGUUGGUAAGGUAACGGCUUACCAAGGCAACGAUGCGUAGCCGACCUGAGAGGGUGAUCGGCCACACUGGAACUGAGACACGGUCCAGACUCCUACGGGAGGCAGCAGUAGGGAAUCUUCCGCAAUGGGCGAAAGCCUGACGGAGCAACGCCGCGUGAGUGAUGAAGGUCUUCGGAUCGUAAAACUCUGUUAUUAGGGAGGAACAAAUGUGUAAGUAACUAUGCACGUCUUGACGGUACCUAAUCAGAAAGCCACGGCUAACUACGUG